GACGAACGCUGGCUGCGUGCUUAACACAUGCAAGUCGAACGCUGAAGCCCCAGCUUGCUGGGGUGCAUGAGUGGCGAACGGGUGAGUAACACGUGAGUAACCUGCCCCUGACUUCGGGAUAAGUCCGGGAAACUGGGUCUAAUACCGGAUACGACUACCGGACGCAUGUUUGGUGGUGGAAAGUUUCUUCGGUUGGGGAUGGGCUCGCGGCGUAUCAGCUUGUUGGUGAGGUAAUGGCUCACCAAGACGACGACGGGUAGCCGGCCUGAGAGGGUGACCGGGGACACAUGGGGAGGGAGACAGGGCAGAGACCUAUGCGGGGCGGCGGUGGGGGGUAUUGUGCAAUAUGGGAGGAAGCGAUACAGAGACGCGGCGUGUGGGGGAAGAGGGUUCGGGUGGUGUACCGCUUUCAGGAGGGUAGAGGAGCGCGAGUGACGGUACUGGGUGAAGAAGUACCGGCUAACUACGUG
rnacentral:rRNA from 1 species